rnacentral:lncRNA from 1 species
CUCCCUGUGGGGCUACAGUAAUUCUGAGUUCCUUCACAGCCACCUCCUGUCCCUGUGUCUUCUCCCUGAGUUCCCCCAGCACCUUCUACUUCUCGAUCAACCUCUCACUUCAAAGUGCUUGGUUCUAGAUCUCUUUGGGGGCUUCCAACUUAAGACUGUACACUUCCCACAACAGAAGUCUUAGUAUAGUUUUACCAAGUUCAUCGUGGACCCUAAGUUGACAAGACACAUUUUGCCAAACUCCUGGACAAACAUCCAGAGCUAAGCCCAUCAUGAAUUCAUAUCUGUUAAUGUGUAGCUCUUAGGCGGGGAUGAUCUUGGGCCAUAGCUACCUGUUCCCUCCCUGAUUCUUCCUCUUGCAAUUCAGGAUACCCAGGUCGUAUUGGAGGACGGAACGACCAGGAACUUGGCAUGGUAUGCCAGCCCGCUGUGAGUGUAUGCUUUCUGAGCAUGGAUAGCCCCAGUGACCCCUCUCACCUGCUGUAUCUCCUUUGGUGGGGUGGGCAGAAGCCCUCGUCUGGCCAUCUGUGGCAGUGUCUCUGCCGAGGCUGAUGCUCCACAGACCCCUGGAAUCUCCACAUUCACUGACGUCUUAGGUGUGUGUGGCCUGUACAGCUUGCCUUCGUCUGGCCCCAGCUGUUCUCUUUCUCCUCUCAUGGGAUACUCCCCACCCUCAAGAGCCAGCCUUGCUAGCUGUGUUUUCCUCAGGUAAGACUAUGGAGUUUCCAAUCCUGCCCAGUCUCUACCUGCACCCCCUUUCUACACAGUUUAGGCCUAUACACCCCUGAACAUGGC